rnacentral:misc_RNA from 1 species
AAUGGAUCUGAUGCGCUCGGAGAAGAUGACUUUCGUUCAGCUUAUCAUUCCUGCUGAGUCCGCUCAUCGUGCCAUCACUUACCUUGGCCAACUCGGACUACUCCAAUUCCGUGAUCUAAAUGCCGAAAAGAGUCCUUUCCAGAGAACAUUUGUAAACCAGGUAAAAAGAUGCGUGGAGAUGGCAAGAAAACUACGAUAUUUCAAAGAUCAGAUACACAAAGCCGGUCUAUUUCUGCCUCCUCUUCCUGCUUCCCAACCUGAUACUGACUUAGAAGAAAUAGAGAUUCGAC